rnacentral:sRNA from 1 species
CGCUUGGUUGAAAAGCCAGUGG